rnacentral:rRNA from 1 species
UACGUAGGGUGCAAGCGUUGUCCGGAAUUAUUGGGCGUAAAGAGCUCGUAGGCGGUCUGUCGCGUCUGCUGUGAAAACUCAGGGCUUAACCUUGAGCUUGCAGUGGGUACGGGCAGACUAGAGUGCGGUAGGGGAGACUGGAAUUCCUGGUGUAGCGGUGAAAUGCGCAGAUAUCAGGAGGAACACCGGUGGCGAAGGCGGAUCUCUGGGCCGAUACUGACGCUGAGGAGCGAAAGCGUGGGGAGCGAACAGG